GACAGAGGGUGCAAACGUUGUUCGGAAUUACUGGGCGUAAAGCGCGUGUAGGCGGCAUGACAAGUCGGAUGUGAAAGCCCUGGGCUCAACCCAGGAAGUGCAUUCGAUACUGCCGUGCUAGAGUCCCGGAGAGGGUGGUGGAACUCUCGGUGUAGAGGUGAAAUUCGUAGAUAUCGAGAAGAACACCGGUGGCGAAGGCGGCCACCUGGACGGUGACUGACGCUGAGGAGCGAAAGCGUGGGGAGCGAACAGG
rnacentral:rRNA from 1 species